CGACAAGGAACCGCGCCGUGAACCUGCGGGGGAUCAUUA
rnacentral:rRNA from 1 species